rnacentral:rRNA from 1 species
AGUGAACGCUGGCGGUAGGCCUAACACAUGCAAGUCGAACCGCUGCACAGUAAGAGCUUGCUCUUACGGGUGGCGAGUGGCGGACGGGUGAGGAAUACAUCGGAAUCUACUUUUUCGUGGGGGAUAACGUAGGGAAACUUACGCUAAUACCGCAUACGACCUACGGGUGAAAGCAGGGGAUCUUCGGACCUUGCGCGAUUGAAUGAGCCGAUGUCGGAUUAGCUAGUUGGCGGGGUGAAGGCCCACCAAGGCGACGAUCCGUAGCUGGUCUGAGAGGAUGAUCAGCCACACUGGAACUGAGACACGGUCCAGACUCCUACGGGAGGCAGCAGUGGGGAAUAUUGGACAAUGGGCGCAAGCCUGAUCCAGCCAUACCGCGUGGGUGAAGAAGGCCUUCGGGUUGUAAAGCCCUUUUGUUGGGAAAGAAAAGCAGCAGGUUAAUACCCCGCUGUUCUGACGGUACCCAAAGAAUAAGCACCGGCUAACUUCGUG